CAAGGCUUGACAUCCCUUGACGUGCAUAGAAAUAUGCAUUCCCUUCGGGGCAAGGAGACAGGUGGUGCAUGGUUGUCGUCAGCUCGUGUCGUGAGAUGUUGGGUUAAGUCCCAUAACGAGCGCAACCCUUAUCAUUAGUUGCCAGCGCGUAAAGGCGGGAACUCUAAUGAAACUGCCGGGGAUAACUCGGAGGAAGGUGGGGACGACGUCAAAUCAUCAUGCCCCUUAUGUCUUGGGCUACACACGUGCUACAAUGGCCGGUACAAAGGGCUGCGAAACCGUAAGGUGAAGCGAAUCCCAGAAAACCGGUCCCAGUUCGGAUCGUGGGCUGCAACCCGCCCACGUGAAGCCGGAGUUGCUAGUAAUCGCGAAUCAGCAUGUCGCGGUGAAUGCGUUCCC
rnacentral:rRNA from 1 species